rnacentral:rRNA from 1 species
GAUGAACGCUAGCGGGAGGCCUAACACAUGCAAGCCGAGCGGUAUUUCUUCUUCGGAAGAGAGAGAGCGGCGUACGGGUGCGGAACACGUGCGCAACCUGCCUUUAUCUAGAGGAUAGCCUUUCGAAAGGAAGAUUAAUACUCUAUAAUAUAUUAAUUGGCAUCAAUUGAUAUUGAAAACUCCGGUGGAUAGAGAUGGGCACGCGCAAGAUUAGCUAGUUGGUGAGGUAACGGCUCACCAAGGCAAUGAUCUUUAGGGGGCCUGAGAGGGUGAUCCCCCACACUGGUACUGAGACACGGACCAGACUCCUACGGGAGGCAGCAGUGAGGAAUAUUGGUCAAUGGGUGCAAGCCUGAACCAGCCAUCCCGCGUGAAGGAUUAAGGUCCUAUGGAUUGUAAACUUCUUUUGUAUAGGGAUAAACCUACCCUCGUGAGGGUAGCUGAAGGUACUAUACGAAUAAGCACCGGCUAACUCCGUGCCAGCAGCCGCAGUAAUAC